rnacentral:tRNA from 1 species
GCGGGCGUCGUAUAAUGGUUAUUACUCGGGCUUCCCAAGCCUGCGACGCGGGUUCGAUUCCCGUCGCCCGCU